rnacentral:ncRNA from 1 species
ACCGUCACAACGGCUUCCUGGCGUGACUGGUAAAACCAAACGGAGCA